GAUCUGGUCCGAUGGAUGUAUCACAGACCAACUUUCACCUCGUGAUUCGUGCAUCAACAAAAACCCCAUCUCUGUCUUAAAACCCACAGUAACCCCUUAUGACUACAUUACUGUUUUGCUCUACUGUUUCACUCUCUCUUCAAGUUCUUUCUGCUUACAAAGUCAAACAAUCUUGUUGAAUUUAAGCUGUUUCUUUGUGUGAUUCAUCUAGACUAGCCUGCUAGGGUUUGAAAAAUGUCACCUUGCCUUUCAAAUCACACUCAGGAGCCUCUCAUUGCAUCUUCUGCAACUCUGGGUUCUUCAAACACAAAAAUGGUAGUGACCCUUUUGAGGUCCCGAAGUAGCGGUGAUGCUUUGGGAAUUUUGCAUUGUCGGAAGCUUGAAGAUAACUAGUGAGAAAUUGGUCUCCUGCAGCUUUACUGGAACAUGUAAGCUGCCAAGUCUACUAGAAGUAGUAGGGAAUGAAGCCAUCGGUCCGCCAAUUAUAUCACUGUUAAAAUUAUUGUAUCAUAUUGACAUUUUAUGAAAUAGGAUUCCAAUAUGUUGUGGUUUAGAGCAAUUUUCCUGCAAAUUUUACCUUGAAUAGUUUCAUCUGAAUUUUGUAUCUUUGGUACAUUCGUGCUAGCCCUUAUUUAGCAAUAUCAUCACUCAAGGAAGUGUGGAUGCUAAUGCCACAUAAUUUUUGUAGCA